AAGAAGUGCAUGAAAAUGUAAUAACUCUUGCAAAAAUUUUAGGGAGGAGCUGAUAAUGGAAUUGAGGAAGUGAGGUCUCUUUGAAGUCAUGCAAAGAUGGUACAUCUCUUAAUUCCAUUUGUUUUCAAUAUCUUCUGCCAUUUCCGUUGUUUCAGGUUUUAGGCGCAGAAUCAAAUUAUUUAGCAGAUCAAUUGUUCUAAAACCUGAAAAGAUUUUGACACAAGGUUGUAUUAAUAGUUCCAUCUUAAGAUAGAUCAUGAUGGUCUUUUAUCUUUUGAGUUGGUGCCAAGAACUAUAUCAAUUUCUCGCAUCAAGCUUCCUUCUUGAUAUUGCUAUAUAUGAUCCCACUAAGAGACCUUUCACCUCUCAUUUCACUAAUACAGUCUCAUCAUAUAGUGCAUGGACUAAGAUCCUCAUCCAUUGAUUUGAAAUUUAGCAAGUCUCUCAGGUCCACAGCCGUUUUCUCAUUUCAGUCUAGAAUUUAGUAAACCUGAGGUACCAUCUAUGAUCUCUCUCGCGUAAAUUCCACCAUCAACUUCAUCUGAAAGUGUGAUCUGAGCUGAUAAGAGGCAUAAAGAGACUGUCCUCUGCAGUAUGAAAACAGGAGACAAACAAGGUUUGCCUAUAGCCCUCAUAUAUCUCAUGUCCAUAGUUAAGAAUUUAAGAGUUAUAAAAGAUCUUUAAUUGUAUGUAACUUGGGAUCGAUCUAUGUGUAUGGAGCUUUUGCAUCUCAAGCUGCAUCCAAAUAGUUUUGUAGCAAUUGCAUUUUCUUUCUUUUUUUUUGUGUCACAUCAACACAUUUCGAUUUGAAUAUGCAACACUAACUAGCAGUAAGGAAGUAAUCAACAAAUUUAAAGACUAGCUAGAGCUAGACACCCUUUUUAUCUUGAAUCUCUUGUCUUAUAUUACUAGUCUGCCUUUAACAGACAUAGUCAGAAUAUAUGUAAAUUAGGUCCCUUUCAAAUCCUUUACCAUCUGCAUUAUGAGUUUUUGACAGUAAGUGUAACAUGAAUAUAUAUAUGCAUAAGAUCAAUCCCACGUGAGGAAAGAAGCUUAUGUUGGACUUAAAUUAAACAAGUUGCAG
rnacentral:lncRNA from 1 species